ACGAAUCUCACGUGGAACUGCUGCUGUCAGAGUUAUUUAAAAAAUUAAAAAAUAAAAUUAAAAAAGAAAGAAAAAAAAUGAAAAGAAUACUACCCCUUCCGAAGAAGACUUCCCCUUCGUGCAAAUCCCAAGAUUCGGUGGUAGUGCUCUCUCGUUCCUCCCUUUACUGCAGCUUGGCCAAUCUCUUCCCCGCGUGACCCACAUUCGAGAUGCCUGUCGUCAAGUCUUUACCGUCAUCUUUUGAAGAACCACAGUCUCAAGGGUACGCAAGAAUCUCUAAAUGGUCUGUUCAGCUGAAUGGUUGUUGGUGGUGCUUAAAACAAUCCAUACUUGUUUGGAGCUGCAAAAAGGAAUCUUUUCUUUAAUCUUCUAUAUGCUGAAGGCAGUAGCUCAAUGUUGCAGUUAUGAUGAAUUAGAUUAGAUUGUUAGAGGAGUUUUGGUUGUUCCUCCAUUUAGGUCCUGACUUUUUGGAAGCUGUUUGAUGUAUCAUCAUUCGAGUAGUUGUUAUGCUCAGUCCACCUUAGCAUUUGGUCAGAGUUUGCUCAGGCUGAAAGAGCCUACUGUUUUGCCGCGUUGCCGUGAAGAUGAUCUUCACUUGGUGCAGUUUGUGCUGGAUUCAGCUGCACAAGAAUAUUCUGAGAAAGCAAAUGUUCAUCCACCUCAGAUCAUAGUCGACAAUAUUGUCUAUCUCAAGUGUAUGGAGUAGAUCAUUUUUUAAUGUUUCAACUGUAAUGGCACUUCUUAAGUGUUUUGGUUAUGAUGUACAAAAUGGGUAUUUGUAGGUUCAUUAAAUUAACCUUUGUAAUGAAAAGUUGUGUAAUGAAAACAACUUGUGCACAUGGUUUUGUAGAGAUUCCAUUGAAAUGAGAAACAUUAGUUCUUGAA